rnacentral:rRNA from 1 species
CCUACGGGUGGCAGCAGUGGGGGAUAUUGCACAAUGGGGGAAACCCUGAUGCAGCGACGCCGCGUGUGGGAAGACGGUCCUCUGGAUUGUAAACCACUGUCCCCAGGGACGAAGAUGACGGUACCUGGGGAGGAAGCUCCGGCUAACUACGUGCCAGCAGACGCGGUAAUACGUAGGGAGCGAGCGUUGUCCGGAAUUACUGGGUGUAAGGGGAGCGUAGGCGGGACUGCAAGUUGGGUGUCAAAUCUACCGGCUCAACCGGUAGCCGCACUCAAAACUGCAGUUCUUGAGUGAAGUAGAGGCAGGCGGAAUUCCUAGUGUAGCGGUGAAAUGCGUAGAUAUUAGGAGGAACACCAGUGGCGAAGGCGGCCUGCUGGGCUUUUACUGACGCUGAGGCUCGAAAGUGUGGGGAGCAAACAGGAUUAGAUACCCCGGUAGUC